UACGAAGGGUGCAAGCGUUACUCGGAAUUACUGGGCGUAAAGCGUGCGUAGGUGGUUGUUUAAGUCUGUUGUGAAAGCCCUGGGCUCAACCUGGGAAUUGCAGUGGAUACUGGGCGACUAGAGUGUGGUAGAGGGUAGUGGAAUUCCCGGUGUAGCAGUGAAAUGCGUAGAGAUCGGGAGGAACAUCCAUGGCGUAGGCAGCUACCUGGACCAACACUGACACUGAGGCACGAAAGCGUGGGGAGCAAACAGG
rnacentral:rRNA from 1 species